CGUCAUUUCCGGGCGACUGUGCGCGUGCUGCUCUGUGCGCCCCGUGGCUUUUUUUUUUCUUGGCGAGCGUUGUUAUCGCUGUUUGGUGGCUAACACUAGUGUGGUCACAGGGAAAUGCCGGGGCCAGCCAGUGCCCCCCCCCCCUCCUCACGUGUGUCCUAAAACCGGGAUGUGUGUUUUUAAGUACACGCGAGCAACCGCAGUAUUUCAAAGCUAAACUAAAGGCCGGCGCGUGCUUCUGCGUCUGCGUCGACGCACUCGUUUCAAUUCAUGGUUCCAAAGUCUUGCGUGUGUUGCAGAACAAUUCACCGCCAGAACAACAGGCGGAGUGACGUGUUUUUGUUGAAGACGACCUAGAGAGUCACGUCUUAUUUAUUUAUUUAUCAUUUAUCAGCUUUCAUCGCGGACACAUUUGUCCCGUAUUUUCCUCCACAACUUUGCGCACCUCUCGAACCGGCAAACCGGCGUUUGCGGCGAUCUCCCUCCGUGAAUCCAACCCGCCAGUGACGGCUUGUAGAAGCGGUCAUAUUUACGCAUUUCUUCCCGACAAAAGAUCUUCAAUCUGAUCCGUUCUCUCGUAAACAUUCUUCGUUUUAAUAAUGGCGGUAUCGGGCUAUGAAAGCGGAAAUGUGAGAGUCCGCAAAGGACGCAGUUAGCGGACCAAUCGCUGCCUGGUGCGCUGUCAAGAGCGACGCAAGCCUAGAAAAAUGGCUCGACACACGCAAGGACGCAAGGAGGUGUGAAAAGCGACGCAAGGGACACGCAAGGGGGGAUUGCGUCUGCGUCUCUCUGAAAACGCAGAAGGAUAAAUUAGGCUUAACGAGAUUUUCCUGUAAUUAGGAGUUGCUGUGAUGAGCGGAUCGGGGUCGCUGCGGUUUUCUCUCCGGGGAAGCUUCGUCUCCGCGUUCAUACCUUGCUGGAGACUGGUGGUGCUGGUGGCCCUUUUUGUUUGCCGUGUCCUGGGAAGCGGGAUUCUCUCCCCCCCCCCUUACACCUAGCCUUGUCCAUCCACUCGGCUCCAACCCUCUUAUUGAUUUUUCGUUUUAAAUAAAGCUGUAUUUUUCUUAACC
ensembl:lncRNA